CUCUCGGCUGGCGCCCGGCGGGGCUCCGGGGCUCCGGGGCUCCGGGGCUCCUCUCCCGCCGCCCGGCUCCCCUCGGCCCACGGCAGGGCCCCGGUGUCCUGGGCUGGCAGCGAAGCUCGGAGCUCUGGGCGUGCGGCGGCUGCGGUGGCUCCUGGGCUCCUCCGUCCAACCCGGGCCGCGGAGCCUCUACGCGCACCCCAUCCCCCUCCCGGCUGCGGAGUCUGGCGGCGGCGGGGACUGCUCGGGACCCGGACCCCCGGCGCCUUUCGUCCCCUGUCCCCAUUGUGACCUGUCUCUUGGCCCCGGAGCCCUCCCGCCCCACCCGCGCCGGGGUCUCCAGCGCGAAGGGCUCAGUCUCUGGUGUCCCCGGCCUGGGGCUGGCAAGCUGGGAAACAUUUUCCUGGGCAUCUAAAAGUAUUGUGGACCUGAGACACUGUGCUUACAGGGCCUACUGGGUAAGUGAGGCUGUUUUGAGAUAUAGAGAGAAUUCAUUUCCUACAAGGGAUUUUGCCACAGAAAAAUCCGGGGGUUUGUGGGAAGGAGUUCGGUUCUGUGGUCUCUGCAAUCUCUGAGGGC
rnacentral:lncRNA from 1 species